CCCGUAUAAUAAUUACAUUUUAUUUUUUCUAAUAUAUUUUAUAACAUUAUACAUACAUACACACGUACACAUAUACGUACAUAUAUAUAAAGUAACAAUAUCACCUUUUUAUUUAUUUCUCUACAAAUUGUUAGUUUUAAUUAAAUUUGGGCAAAAUGGAAGACAAUGGAGAAGUGACUCAUAACUAUGCGAUAGGAUUAAUGUUUUAUUUAUUUUUGUUUUUUUAUUCCAUUCAGUAUAUAUUUCAAAUUUUUUAUUUGUAUUCAACAGCAGUAGAGAGCACAUUAUUAGUACUUACAUUUAUUUUUAUUAAAUUUUCCAUAGAAUAUUCUUCUAUACGAUUAAUGGGUUGUGCUUUUGCUGGAAUGCUUACGUUGGUAUAUAUAGAGAUCGAGUACUUAUACUAUCCACCAGAUAAUAUCAUUGUUUUACAAUCUAAUUUUAAAACAAUUUUCAUAAUUCUUAAAUUAUUUAUAACAAUUAAUCUUAUUAUAUUUUUUAUAAUGUAUAUUCGAUAUCUUAAAGAAAUGAAGUAUAUAUUAUCUUUAACAAUACCUACUCACACAUCUCGCCCACUUGGAAAUGUAAACGCUAAUUCGAGUAGACCUAAAGUAAAUGCGAAGCAAGAAGAUCGUAUAGACUUAUCACCAUAUAUUAAUUAUAAUAAUAAAAAAACAAAUGCAGAUGGUUCUAGUCGUCUUCAGAUAAAUGGUAACGGUAUUCUUAGUAUACAACCACAAACAAAACCUAUUACUAGUUAUAUAAUGGAACAAGAUAUUACACCAAUUUAUAAAAAAGAAAAUCCAAACAUAGAAACUCAUUUACAAAAUAUAAACGACAUCAAUAAUGCACCAUAUCAAGGAUCAUCAUAUGCGCAUUAUAAUAUAAAUGGAUCAACCUGUUUGAACGAAAAUAAUACUAAUAAAUAUGACUGUAAUAAUAUACAUAGAAAUAUUAAUCAAAACCCAACUAAUAAUAAUAAUAAUAAUAAUUUAAACAAUAAUAACAGUAAUGAUUAUAUUUAUACACGUGAAGAUUCUAAAAAUUUACAUCUAUAUAAUAUUACUGAUUCUAAUUGUAGUUCACAACAUGUACCAUAUAUGAACCCAAAUAUGAACCCAAAUA
rnacentral:lncRNA from 1 species